UACGGAGGGUCCAAGCGUUAUCCGGAAUCAUUGGGUUUAAAGGGUCCGUAGGCGGUUUUGUAAGUCAGUGGUGAAAGCCCAUCGCUCAACGGUGGAACGGCCAUUGAUACUGCAAGACUUGAAUUAUUAGGAAGUAACUAGAAUAUGUAGUGUAGCGGUGAAAUGCUUAGAGAUUACAUGGAAUACCAAUUGCGAAGGCAGGUUACUGCUAAUGGAUUGACGCUGAUGGACGAAAGCGUGGGGAGCGAACAGG
rnacentral:rRNA from 1 species